ACUGCAUUAUCCUCUACAGCCACAAGAUGGCAUCACCUACACGAGUAACAAGCUGUGCUUGUAUAGUGAUCUGAAUGAGAAAGACAGUCAAAUGUCACUGCCGCAGAAUUGGGAGAAAUGCAGCAUUAAGAUGGAUGUCAACUGCAGUAAAACAAGAAGAAAAUCUGAAUGAGGAGGAUGUGCUGAGUUUUGAGAAAGAGUGAAAUUAAUAAACCAUGCUCUCAAACUGAAAGACUGCACUCUUGAA